rnacentral:rRNA from 1 species
UACGGGGGGAGCAAGCGUUGUUCGGAUUUACUGGGCGUAAAGGGCGCGUAGGCGGCCAGUGCAAGUCAGUUGUGAAAUCUCCGAGCUUAACUCGGAAAGGUCAACUGAUACUGCUCGGCUAGAGUGCGGAAGGGGCAACUGGAAUUCUCGGUGUAGCGGUGAAAUGCGUAGAUAUCGAGAGGAACACCUGCGGCGAAGGCGGGUUGCUGGGCUGACACUGACGCUGAGGCGCGAAAGCCAGGGGAGCGAACGGG